GGCGGACGUAGCCCAAUGGAUUAAGGCAGUGGAUUGUGG
rnacentral:tRNA from 1 species